rnacentral:rRNA from 1 species
UACGAAGGGGGCUAGCGUUGUUCGGGAUUACUGGGCGUAAAGCGCACGUAGGCGGAUCGAUCAGUCAGGGGUGAAAUCCCAGGGCUUAACCCUGGAACUGCCUUUGAUACUGUCGAUCUAGAGUCCGGAAGAGGUGAGUGGAAUUCCGAGUGUAGAGGUGAAAUUCGUAGAUAUUCGGAGGAACACCAGUGGCGAAGGCGGCUCACUGGUCCGGUACUGACGCUGAGGUGCGAAAGCGUGGGGAGCAAACAGG